GAGCCGAAUGGGAUCCAGGUGAGGAGAUGGGUGGGGAAACUCAGGUGAGGGGAAUGAGGUGAUUGCAGGGCAGAUGGGUGUGGCAGGAUCUGCAAUGACAGGAGAGUAAGAGAUCAGGCAGGUGAACAACAUGAAUAGUCACUAAGACGGUGAACCCGUGACAGUGAAGUCUUUUUUCAUCUGAGCAGGAUCAGCUGCAAUCACAACCACAGCUUGGUGAGCUGACAUUCUUAAGUCCUGCAGGGCCACUUCAAAUAUGGCUGUCAUUGGGUUUGGUUGAACCUCUGUCCAGAAAUCUUCCAACUUUGGACUGGCUGAGGGUGCCUUGAUCGUGUCUACAGCUUGGGCAGUUUUCAUCUGUUCCUGGAAAAAGUUUGGCCAAUCUACUGCUGGUUGGGUGAAGUCUAUGGACUACUUUAAACUGUAACAGUCCAUGUCAUUAAAGACGUAUGUACUGACCUGUCCGCUAACUGCCACAUUACUUCCACACCAGAAUCCUCCUCUGACAUCAAAAAGUGUAUUUGCCUCUUCCAACAUGUCAACAUCAUCGCUGUCAACAUUAGACUGAAGAUAUCACAUCAAAGAUGUUCCCCUCUGUCUCAUUCACUUCCUUACACAGGCUUCAUUUACCCUAUGAUAGCAGUCAGUGAUGUUAUAUUGAUUUGUGGCACCAAACUUAGCGAAGGCCUUGUCUCAGGCUGUGAUUGACAGCACUGCCUCAUGUGGGCACUGACACCGGAACUGAAACAUUGACUGUAGGCUCGAACCAAAAUCAAUCAAGAUCACUUUGGCAUGACCAACUCAGCCUGUCUUUCCAUAGCUGUCAGGUGACUUGUCAGAUGGAGAACUGUAUGAUGACUGUGUGAUGAAGGCCCUAUGUAAACAUUGUUGGGGUCCAAUGUGUAUUUUCCUAGCCAGACUACUGACAUGACUACAGUUGCAACUGUUGACAUAAAUAGCAACAUUGUUCAGUCAGAGUAUGUUUUCCUGUUUUAGUUUUUGUUGUUGGUGAAAUGGACUCAUUAAAUUACAUGCAGAUUGAUGUAUAGCA